rnacentral:rRNA from 1 species
GAUGAACGCUGGCGGCAUGCCUAAUACAUGCAAGUCGAACGAACAGACGAGGAGCUUGCUCCCCUGACGUUAUCGCCGGACGGGUGAGUAACACAUGGAUAACCUACCUCUCCGACUGGGAUAACAUCAGGAAACCAGGUCUACUACCGAAUAAUAUAUUGACCCUCAUUGUUCACUAGUUGAAUUCGCUUUUUCUUUCGCUUAUAGACUGAUCCGGGCCGCAUUAACUAGUUGGUAAAGUAACGGCUUACCAAGGCUGCGACGGGUAGCCGCCCUGAGAGGGAGGAUGGCCAGACUGGAACUGAGACACGGCCCAGACACCGACGGUGGGAAGCAGUAGGGAAUCUUACGGAAGGGGCGAAAGCGGGACGGAGCAACGCCGCGUGAGUGAUGAAGGUGCUCGGAUCGUAGAACGCUGUUAGUAGGGAAGAACAAAUGUGUAAGUACCUAGGCACGUCUUGACGGUACCUAAACAGAAAGCCCCGGCUAACUACGUG